rnacentral:misc_RNA from 1 species
GAUGAAGAACGUAGUGAAAUGCGAUAAGUAAUGUGAAUUGCAGAAUUCAGUGAAUCAUCGAAUCUUUGAACGCACAUUGCGCCCCUUGGUAUUCCGAGGUGCAUGCCUGUUCGAGCGUCAUUAUAACCCCUCAAGCUCAGCUUGGUGUUGGGGCCUGCUGCACUGGCAGCCCUUAAAAUCAGUGGCGGCGCCAUCUGGCUCUAAGCGUAGUAAUUCUUCUCGCUAUGGAGUCCUGGUGGAUGCUUGCCAUCAACCCCCAAUUUUUCUAUGGUUGACCUCGGAUCAGGUAGGGAUACCCGCUGAACUUAAGCAUAUCAAUAAGCGGAGGA